AACCAAUGGCCUCCUGAACGUACAUUGCACUCUUGGGAUUU
rnacentral:rRNA from 1 species